rnacentral:rRNA from 1 species
CCUACGGGAGGCAGCAGUAGGGAAUAUUGCUCAAUGGGGGAAACCCUGAAGCGGCACCGCCGCUGGGAGGAUGAAGGUUUUAGAAUUGUAAACUCCUUUUGUUGGAGAAGAUUAUGACGGUAUCUAACGAAUAAGCACCGGCUAACUCCGUGCCAGCAGCCGCGGUAAUACGGAGGGUGCAAGCGUUACUCGGAAUCACUGGGCGUAAAGAGUGCGUAGGCGGGGUAAUAAGUCAGAUGUGAAAUCCUGUAGCUUAACUACAGAACUGCAUUUGAAACUGUUACUCUUGAGUGUGGGAGAGGUAGGUGGAACUCUAGGUGUAGGGGUAAAAUCCGUAGAGAUAAAGAGGAAUAC